UACGUAGGGUGCAAGCGUUGUCCGGAAUUAUUGGGCGUAAAGAGCUCGUAGGCGGUGUGUCGCGUCGGCCGUGAAAACCUGUGGCUUAACUAUGGGCUUGCGGUCGAUACGGGCAUCACUGGAGUUCGGCAGGGGAGACUGGAAUUCCUGGUGUAGCGGUGAAAUGCGCAGAUAUCAGGAGGAACACCGGUGGCGAAGGCGGGUCUCUGGGCCGAUACUGACGCUGAGGAGCGAAAGCGUGGGGAGCGAACAGG
rnacentral:rRNA from 1 species